CGAAAAAAAUAAAUGAAAUUUAUUUCGAGUGUUGAGAAAGAUAUCGAACGAGUGAGCGCAGCGAACGAGAGAGAUAUCUUCUCAACACGAGAGAUAAAUUCCAUUGAUUUCCAAGCAUUCAUGUAUUUUUGUGUUUAUUUUUAUAUAUACUACGAACCUUUUUUACCCGCCACGGCUCUUAAUCCUGAUUUUUGAUUGGUGAGUCAAAACA